rnacentral:rRNA from 1 species
GAUGAACGCUGGCGGCGUGCUUAACACAUGCCAGUCGAACGGAAAGGCUCCUGCUUGCAGGGGUACUCGAGUGGCGAACGGGUGAGUAACACGUGGGUGAUCUGCCCUGCACUUCGGGAUAAGCCUGGGAAACUGGGUCUAAUACCGGAUAGGACGAUGGUUUGGAUGCCAUUGUGGAAAGUUUUUUCGGUGUGGGAUGAGCUCGCGGCCUAUCAGCUUGUUGGUGGGGUAAUGGCCUACCAAGGCGUCGACGGGUAGCCGGCCUGAGAGGGUGUACGGCCACAUUGGGACUGAGAUACGGCCCAGACUCCUACGGGAGGCAGCAGUGGGGAAUAUUGCACAAUGGGCGCAAGCCUGAUGCAGCGACGCCGCGUGGGGGAUGACGGCCUUCGGGUUGUAAACUCCUUUCGCUAGGGACGAAGCGCAAGUGACGGUACCUGGAGAAGAAGCACCGGCUAACUACGUG